AAUUGCUAGUAAUCGCGGAUCAGCAUGCCGCGGUGAAUACGUUCCCGGGCCUUGUACACACCGCCCGUCACACCAUGGGAGCCGGUAAUACCCGAAGUCAGUAGCCUAACCGCAAGGAAGGAGCCGUCGAAGGUGGAGCCGAUGACUGGGGUGAAGUCGUAACAAGGUAUC
rnacentral:rRNA from 1 species